CCAGCCUGAGUCAGAAAAGAAGUUCCUGUGUUGUGGAAAACACCUUGCCUUUUUACAGUCCCUAAAAAAUUCCCAACCAUCUUAACGAAAUGACUACAGACCAGUCACCCUAAAACCUCACAUCAUGAAAGUUCUUGAGAGGCUGUUACUAGUGAGUCUUAAUAAGCAGCUGACUGAUUCUGAACGUCCAGAAAGACCACAAGUCCUGGGGAAUUAAGGGAGAAUCACAAGGAAAACUGCAAAGGAGCACAGGAGAAGCACAAACUAAUACAUUUAUUUGAUUGUUUUACCUUCAGGGCAGAGCUUGCAUUUGAAUAUUUCAAAUAGGGUUAUUUCUCUUUGCAGAGUUAAUCGAUCUUGGGGGUUUUGGAGCAAAUGGAAGUAAUUUGCCGACAUAAGGGGAUGGUUUUGCUGAUUACCACAAAACAUCAUUCACAUCCAGCACUAUCAACUACACAAAUGAUGACUUUAAUCUGGUCUCGAGGGUGCUGUUU